CACUCAUGACUGAGUAACCAUCCUUUCGGUAAAGAGGGAGCCCGAGGCAAGCAGGUGUCAUAGAGAAACCUACAUUUGAUUAGGAGAACUCUGCCUUAUUUAUCGGGGCAAUGCUUUUCUUGGCAAAAAGAUAGGAAGAAUCCCCACCACCAGAAAGAAGUGGUAGGGCAGUUUUCUGCCCAGAAAGCCAUUUGCACUCUUCCAAUGCUUCCUCAGGCUGUGGAAGAGGGACUCAUGGAUGAUCUUGAACUUGUGGCUCGUAAGGAACCAUGAGCAAAGAGCUGUGAACUCACAGGAUUUGCACCAUUUACAGCCAUGAGGUGUGAUGACUAAUUAACCAUUAUUUGGCACAAGGGUCUCUGAUGAACUGGACCGACCAUGAUGCCCCAUCCUCAUCCCAAAAGGCAAGACAGCACAGGAGUGCCUUGGUUUUCCUUGACAGAUUCUCUUCCAUGGAUUGAACAAAUGUGAAAUUACUGGGUGAAUAUGUGGCUGCCUCUCAGAUGCAGUUGAUACGACAAUGGCACGGCCGUGGAAACAACCUUUUAUUCCUCCAGCCUGGGCUGGAUUCCUCUCUUGGCAGAGAGGCACCUGGAUAGGACUCUUCAGAAGACAAACUAGAACAUGAAAGCCUGGUUCUCUGCCUGAAUUUCUCCCUGGAGGAGUUUGGACAGCAAGUUCAGGGGAAUUCAUGGAGCAAAUCAGGCACCUCUUUGUGUAGGUGUCACAACACCGAUGUGGCUGUGGGUGCCACCAGAACCUGGGGUGUCUCCAGCAAUAAACGGGAGUGAGGAAACGUGCUUCUUAAACACUCAUCACCUGGGCUUCUCUCUGUGGCCUCAGGAAGGACUUUUUUUUUUUUUUUUUUUUUUCUCUUAUGAGUUCUGUUACUAAAGAACAACAACUCUUAAAUCAGCAUAAGGUUAACGGAGAUCUAAUGUCUCUGUAAUGGUCUGGAUGCUGAAAUGCAGAUAUAUAACUCAACAUGCUCAUUUAAUACCAAAGGCAGAUGGUUUCACUAUUACAGCUUGUUGCUAGAGAGGAAUUUAUCUGGUAAUCCAAUAAUCGUAAUUGUAUUAUUUUGAUAAUAAACAAUGAGGCAAAUUCAAGGGAGGCAAAGGCUAAAUGCAGCAGCGGCUGUCCAAUCAGCCUCUGGUUUGUUAUGCAUCAUAUGAUCUUUAAUCCUGUUACCAUACCAGAAAUGGAUUUUCAGCCCAGUAUAAACCAAUGCACCUUUACUGAAGUCACUUUAACCUGGUCAAUUUUUGGUGCUUUGAGCAUGGAGAUACUUGAGUGAUUGAUGCUGUUUAACUUGCAGUACUCAUUUUAAGUGUGAGUCAUAAAGGCUGCGAUUCCAGUAAAAGACUAGGUCUGCCUCAUAUCUAAUCAAGUAAUUGUAUGUAAUUGAAGAUAAUCAGAAGUCUUAGAUCUAGAACACAUAGCAACAAGGAAGCAUGCAUUUUAAAAAGGCUCCCACUUACAUGAGCAGUGAAAGCAAGUAUGUUCGCCCCCCCAGCCCCAUGCAAGGCUUAUUGCAGGAAAGGAACUCAUUCCUAAAGGAGAUGGUUUUGUAUAUUCAAUAUUGCUUUUAAUUGAUCAGAAAAUGUCCAUUCUCCAUCAUAAAAAAAAUUCUGCAUGUGAUAUUUUUCUAGAAGAGAUAUGGCGUGCUAUAUUUGUGAAUUUCCUCAGUCCACAUCUAAGCGCAAAUAUAAGCAAACUGAACCAGAAAGAGGCACUCUCAUUUCAAAGCAAUCAUAGUGAGGGCAGUGCUGGAAAUUGGAGACCACCAUGGAAAUGGCCACAUGUUCUGAACAAAGUUCUCUCUUUUAAUUCGAAGCCCUAAAGAAGACAAGACUUUGCUUUUCACCUCACUGUGUCUGGGGUGAAAUUGCCAGAGGCUGGACAGUGAAGAGCUGCAAUAACUCGCCUCCACUAGAUUUUUACAUCAAACAGGUUCCCUUCAAUUUCACAAGGCAUGUUUUCACCCUGAACACGCAACCAGAAUCUAAUAAAAUAAAGUGGUUUUGUUCUGGUUUGUUUUGUA